rnacentral:rRNA from 1 species
UACGUAGGGUGCAAGCGUUGUCCGGAAUUAUUGGGCGUAAAGAGCUCGUAGGCGGUUUGUCGCGUCGGCUGUGAAAGCCCGGAGCUCAACUCCGGGUCUGCAGUCGAUACGGGCAGACUUGAGUGUUGCAGGGGAGACUGGAAUUCCUGGUGUAGCGGUGAAAUGCGCAGAUAUCAGGAGGAACACCGGUGGCGAAGGCGGGUCUCUGGGCCGAAACUGACGCUGAGGAGCGAAAGCGUGGGGAGCAAACAGG